GAUGAACGCUGGCGGCGUGCCUAAUACAUGCAAGUCGAGCGAACGGACGAGAAGCUUGCUUCUCUGAUGUUAGCGGCGGACGGGUGAGUAAGACGUGGAUAACCUACCUAUAAGACUGGGAUAACUUCGGGAAACCGGAGCUAAUACCGGAUAAUAUUUUGAACCGCAUGGUUCAAAAGUGAAAGACGGUCUUGCUGUCACUUAUAGAUGGAUCCGCGCUGCAUUAGCUAGUUGGUAAGGUAACGGCUUACCAAGGCAACGAUGCAUAGCCGACCUGAGAGUGUGAUCGGACACUGUGGAACUGAGACACGGUCCAGACUUCUACGGGGGGCAGCAGUAGAGAAUCUGCCGAAAGGGGCGAACGCCUGACGGAGCAACGCCGCGUGAGUGAUGAAGGUCUUCGGAUCGGAAAACUCUGUUAUUAGGGAAGAACAUAUGUGUAAGUAACUGUGCACAUCUUGACGGUACCUAAUCAGAAAGCCACGGCUAACUACG
rnacentral:rRNA from 1 species